UUAUAUACGAGGGUGGAACACUGGACGUGAAACAUCCAGAGAAUCCACGAGUCCCUCGAGGCGGAUCGGGCCUCCUCCUUAGUGCCAAUACUAAUAAUCCAUACGUUUCUACGUAUAUCCGAAUACAUACGUGUAUAUAUAUAUAUAUAUCACCCAGAUUUCAAGGGUGAUCCAGUAACGGUCACGUAUCCGGAUAUCACCUUAUGGAACCCGUAAAGCAGCUAGCAAGUCUGGAUAUAAGCUAGGAAGAAGCCUGAAGAUAAAAUCCCAGAACCCGCUACAAAACAUUACUAGACGAAGUACCCAACGUAUCUAGGGAAUUAUUUUAAUAAAAUUUUCAACCGACCCUCCUACAAGAAUUAGCCGCCGCACUUACCCAACAUAACGAUGACUCCCAGUAAGCCUUCGGAUCAUUUUCGAUAACAAGCAACAAGACAGUCUUGAGGUGUGACGUAGUGGAAUGUUCGCCAUCUUGAAUUUUGUCACAGCGACGAUUCCACGGGAAUCAACUGUCCACCUUGGAUCUCGAGAUCAAGGACACGUCGCUCAACGAAGAAGUUGGACCUGCAACUGAGUACCCAAGAUGACGUUCGCUUAGGGUGGACGUCAACUGAAGUCCGGCUACCCGGAGUCAAUGACGGCUACCCAGGAAGCGAUAACGUGUCCGACCUCCUGUUCUUGAAACACGUUAAUAACCGGACGGGAGAGACGCUUCUAAGUUCCUGGACCAUCAAAGACAGACCUCGUUAUUGGGAGUGACAUCGGGAACGUCCUGGGAUCAAGGACCGGUAUCUAAAACUAACCAAAAGGAUCCUAUGGAUACAUUAUGCGCAUUCUGCGGGUGAGCCUUAAGGGUAAGGCUGUGCUUGGAAGCUGCAUGCAGUGGGACUUCUGGUGCAAGGGAUGGGCGUCGAGGACUUGACUGCAUUUGAU